AGUUUUUAACUCAAGUGGCGGACGGGUGAGUAACACGUAAGAAUUUGCCUUUAGGAGGGGGACAAGGAUAACAUCUGAGAAAUACCCCAUAUGCUUUCGAGUGAAAUGGAUUUUUCCGCCUAGAGAGAAGCUUGCGGCUGAUUAGCUUGUUGGUAAGGUAAUGGCUUACCAAGGCGACGAUCAGUAUCUGGUUUGAGAGGACGAUCAGACACACUGGAACUGAGACACGGUCCAG
rnacentral:rRNA from 1 species